rnacentral:tRNA from 1 species
CCGCCCGUAGCUCAGCUGGAUAGAGCGCUGCCCUCCGAAGGCAGAGGUCAGAGGUUCGAAUCCUCUCGGGCGGGCCA